rnacentral:rRNA from 1 species
GAUGAACGCUGGCGGCGUGCCUAAUACAUGCAAGUCGAGCGAAUGGAUUAAGAGCUUGCUCUUAUGAAGUUAGCGGCGGACGGGUGAGUAACACGUGGGUAGCCUGCCCAUAAGACUGGGAUAACUCCGGGAAACCGGGGCUAAUACCGGAUAACAUUUUGAACCGCAUGGUUCGAAAUUGAAAGGCGGCUUCGGCUGUCACUUAUGGAUGGACCCGCGUCGCAUUAGCUAGUUGGUGAGGUAACGGCUCACCAAGGCAACGAUGCGUAGCCGACCUGAGAGGGGGAUCGGCCACACUGGGACUGAGACACGGCCCAGACUCCUACGGGAGGCAGCAGUAGGGAAUCUUCCGCAAUGGACGAAAGUCUGACGGAGCAACGCCGCGUGAGUGAUGAAGGCUUUCGGGUCGUAAAACUCUGUUGUUAGGGAAGAACAAGUGCUAGUUGAAUAAGCUGGCACCUUGACGGUACCUAACCAGAAAGCCACGGCUAACUACGUGCCAGCAGCCGCGGUAA